rnacentral:rRNA from 1 species
AACCCUGAUGCAGCCAUGCCGCGUGUGUGAAGAAGGCCUUCGGGUUGUAAAGCACUUUCAGUUGUGAGGAAAGUUUAGUAGUUAAUACCUGCUAGAUGUGACGUUAGCAACAGAAGAAGCACCGGCUAACUCCGUGCCAGCAGCCGCGGUAAUACGGAGGGUGCGAGCGUUAAUCGGAAUUACUGGGCGUAAAGCGCACGCAGGCGGUCUGUUAAGCUAGAUGUGAAAGCCCCGCGCUCAACGUGGGAGGGUCAUUUAGAACUGGCAGACUAGAGUCUUGGAGAGGGGAGUGGAAUUCCAGGUGUAGCGGUGAAAUGCGUAGAGAUCUGGAGGAACAUCAAUGGCGAAGGCAACUCCCUGGCCAAAGACUGACGCUCAUGUGCGAAAGUGUGGGUAGCGAACAGGAUUAGAUACCCUGGUAGUCCACACCGUAAACGCUGUCUACUAGCUGUUUGUGGAUUUAAUCCGUGAGUAGCGAAGCUAACGCGAUAAGUAGACCGCCUGGGGAGUACGGCCGCAAGGUUAAAACUCAAAUGAAUUGACGGGGGCCCGCACAAGCGGUGGAGCAUGUGGUUUAAUUCGAUGCAACGCGAAGAACCUUACCUACUCUUGACAUACUAGAAACUUUUCAGAGAUGAAUUGGUGCCUUCGGGAAUCUAGAUACAGGUGCUGCAUGGCUGUCGUCAGCUCGUGUCGUGAGAUGUUGGGUUAAGUCCCGCAACGAGCGCAACCCUUGUCCUUAGUUGCCAGCCUUAAGUUGGGCACUCUAAGGA